rnacentral:rRNA from 1 species
AUUGAACGCUGGCGGCAGGCCUAACACAUGCAAGUCGAGCGAGCGGCGGACGGGUGAGUAAUGUAUGGGGACUGCCCGAUAGAGGGGGAUAACUACUGGAAACGGUGGCUAAUACCGCAUACUAUCGGAUAACCCAUAUGGGAUUAGCUAGUAGGUGGGGUAAAGGCUCACCAAGGCGACGAUCUCUAGCUGGUCAGAGAGGAUGAUUAGCCAGUCGGGGACUGAGACACGGCCCAGACUCUACCGGAGGCAGCAGGGGGGAAGAUGGCAAAAUGGGCGAAAGCCUGCUGCAGCAAUGCCGCGUGUAGGAAGAAGGCCUUAGGGUUGUAAAGUACUUUCAGCGGGGAGGCGUUACCCGCAGAAGAAGCACCGGCUAACUCCGUGCCAGCAGCCGCGGUAAUAC